rnacentral:tRNA from 1 species
AAGGGAGACCUAAUUCAGGUAUGAGACGAAAAAAAAGUAGUCGCUACCAAGAAUCAAUCCCAAAAGGUCGGAGCGAGGCGAAAUUGGCUUUCAAACUAGGUUCUGGGUUCACACAAGACCUGAAUCAGGAACAAGGGCUAUUAGCUCAGGUGGUUAGAGCGCACCCCUGAUAAGGGUGAGGUCCCUGGUUCGAGUCCAGGAUGGCCCACCUGCACAGGUGGCAAAAAGAAAGAAAAGAAGCGAGGAAUCAGCACCUUAUCUUAUUUAUAUAGUAAGAGAGAAUGCUGGCUCUGAGUUCAGAGUCCAGAGGAACCUUGAAAACUGCAUAGAGCUAGGUGAAAAAGCCAAAAAAGAAGACCGCAA